GGAGAUAUGGCUCAGUGGUUAAGAGCAUUAACUGCCCUUCUAGAGGUCCUGGGUUCAAUUCCCAGCACCCACA
rfam:Cricetulus griseus cell line CHO-K1, whole genome shotgun sequence.